rnacentral:rRNA from 1 species
UUACUCGGAAUCACUGGGCGUAAAGGACGCGUAGGCGGAUUAUCAAGUCUUUUGUGAAAUCUAACAGCUUAACUGUUAAACUGCUUGAGAAACUGAUAAUCUAGAGUGAGGGAGAGGCAGAUGGAAUUGGUGGUGUAGGGGUAAAAUCCGUAGAGAUCACCAGGAAUACCCAUUGCGAAGGCGAUCUGCUGGAACUCAACUGACGCUAAUGCGUGAAAGCGUGGGGAGCAAACAGGAUUAGAUACCCUGGUAGUCCACGCCCUAAACGAUGUAUACUAGUUGUUGCUGUGCUAGUCACGGCAGUAAUGCACCUAACGGAUUAAGUAUACCGCCUGGGGAGUACGGUCGCAAGAUUAAAACUCAAAGGAAUAGACGGGGACCCGCACAAGCGGUGGAGCAUGUGGUUUAAUUCGAAGAUACGCGAAGAACCUUACCUGGGCUUGAUAUCCAACUAAUCUCUUAGAGAUAAGAGAGUGCUAGCUUGCUAGAAAGUUGAGACAGGUGCUGCACGGCUGUCGUCAGCUCGUGUCGUGAGAUGUUGGGUUAAGUCCCGCAACGAGCGCAACCCACGUAUUUAGUUGCUAACAGUUUGGCUGAGCACUCUAAAUAGACUGCCUUCGUAAGGAGGAGGAAGGUGUGGACGACGUCAAGUCAUCAUGGCCCUUAUGCCCAGGGCGACACACGUGCUACAA